GCGGGCUCGGGCGUCUAGGCUUGUUCCUCGGGUGUCGCCGGGCGGCCGCAGAGGCCUGGAGAGAGGAGGCGGCUGGUCUCCGCGGCCGAGCUGUCCGUCCCUCUUCUGUGGACGCACACCUUUGCGGAGCGUCCGUGCAGACCCAGAUCACUCUCCCCGGAAAGCUUAUUUCUGGGGCGCGACAGCCUGACGUUCAAUACCGCUUGUCAGAAAGGUCGGAAUUUGGAGACUGAAAAUGGGAGAAGGGACGCGCUCCUCGGUGCUCCUCGCCGGUGUCGUCAGAGCCGCAGAGUUUUCUGAAAGUGCAACUCAGAUGGCACGCAAACCCACAAUCUUCCAACUGAAAACCAUAACUCAUCUCAGGACUUAAUGAAGCUCAGUUUCUUCAUGUCUUGGCACAGAAGGAAUUCAGCAAGAGGGAAAGUGAUAGGCAGUGGCCUCUCCCUCUUGCUCUCCCAGAGGAAGAGAAGAAUGAUCAUCAAUGGCAAAUGGCAGUUGCAGAACCAACGCCAAGAACCAGCUUCACACUCAGGAGAGAACACUAAGUUUCUUCCUCGGGGUUUCAGAAAGGUACUAUUACUCUCUCUCUGAGAAAAUCAAAACCAUAAGUAUCCUGCAGGUAAAAAACAAAAUCUAUUGAUGCUGCAUGCCUUCUAAAGGCCUUCAACUUUCAUUCAACCAAGACCUGCCUUGAGAGAAAACGUCACCUAUACCUGGAGUGCCCCACAGCACACUGAGACUGCUGUGAUGUGAAACCUACCAGCCAUGUGUAACCCAGGGGUGGCAUGGUUAGGCGUGCUGCUGCUCUUGGUCGUGUUCACCCAUCCAGCCCUCAAGCCAGCAAUGCCUCCCGUGAUCAAGAAACGACCUUUCAACAUUUUCUGGGCUGCCCCAACAAUGCAGUGUAAGCAUUUCUUCAAUAUGGAUCUGAAUCUUCAAUUAUUUCAUAUUAUAUCAAAUCCUUUAGAGACUCAGAGUGGAUCAACAAUUGCCAUACUUUAUCCAAACGAAGUAGGGUAUUAUCCUUAUUUCUCUCCAGAGGGAAAAUCCUUUAACAGAGGGAUACCACAGAAUAUGAGCCUUUCCAAACACCUUAGGAAGACCACUGAUGACAUUGCAAAAGUGGUCCCUUGGUGGAGAUUAGAAGGUCUUGUUGUCAUUGACUGGGAAAGCUAGAAGCCACAGUGGGACAGAAAAUGGGGCAAUAGAGUAAUAUAUAAAAACUACGCCUUAGCCUUUCCCAGAAACCACCAUCCUGAUUGGUCAGAAAUGAAAGUGAGAACAGUUGCCCAAGAGGAAUUUGAAACUGCUGGGAGGAGUAUUAUGAAUGCUACUCUCACACUGGCUUUAGAAAUGAGACCAAAAUGUUUAUGGGGCUUUUAUCUCUAUCCAGACUGCUACAAUUAUGAUUAUAGGAGAAAUCCACAGAGCUACACAGGUAAAUGCCCGAGUGGUGAAAUAUUCCGCAAUGACCAGCUCCAGUGGCUAUGGGAAAAAAGCAGAGCACUUUAUACUUCAAUAUAUUUGGAUAAAAUAUUGAGGUCAAGUUUAAAUGCUUUGAAAUUUGUUCAUUAUAGAGUUAGAGAAGGCAUGAGAAUUGCUGAAAUGGCGAGACAUGACUAUGUUUUAUCAGUUUUUAUUUUUUCCAGACCAUUUUAUUUGCGUAGUAUUGAAGCUUUGUCACAGGUAAGGAAAAAAUACAGUCCCACCUAAAAUAUGGAAACUUAGUAGAAUGACUCUAUAAAGUUUAGGAAGAAAGUGUUUUAGGAUGCUUAUUUCCCCUUAAUAGUAGAAUACUAUUCUAUUAUUAAAGCUAUGUGCUCCUUCGAAUCUUGAGCCAAUUCUGAAACAGUGUCACUGACAAUUAGAUGUUUAGAGUUUUUAGAUGAUGAUUCCUACCAGCUGAGCAUUUACAAGUGUUUCCUGCAGAACAGUUGUUAAGCUUAAGUUAAAUCAUGUAACAGAUAGAUUAAUUUUAAACAGGGAGAAGUUUCAUAUUAAAGAAGCUUCUAAUAUGAAAGAGUAGCAGCAAUUUUCCAAAUCAAAAAUAUACAAAGUAGAGCUUGGGUAAACUAUUAACUAACUAUGCUUUCAAUAUAUUGCAUUUUUAUGUUUUGAUUGAUUAGGUUA